GACGAACGCUGGCGGCGUGCCUAAUACAUGCAAGUCGAGCGGAUGACGGAGGAGCUUGCUCCUCUAGAUUCAGCGGCGGACGGGUGAGUAACACGUGGGCAACCUGCCCUGUAGAUUGGGAUAACUCCGGGAAACCGGGGCUAAUACCGAAUAAUCCUUCGGACCUCAUGGUCCGAUGUUGAAAGACGGUUUCGGCUGUCACUACAGGAUGGGCCCGCGGCGCAUUAGCUAGUUGGUGAGGUAACGGCUCACCGAGGCCACGAUGCGUAGCCGACCUGAGAGGGUGAUCGGCCACACUGGGACUGCGACACGGCCCAGACUCCUACGGGAGGCAGCAGUAGGGAAUCUUCCACAAUGGACGAAAGUCUGAUGGAGCAACGCCGCGUGAGUGAAGAAGGUUCUCGGAUCGUAAAACUCUGUUGUGAGGGAAGAACAAGUACCGGAGUAACUGCCGGUGCCUUGACGGUACCUCAUUAGAAAGCCACGGCUAACUACGUGCCAGCAGCCGCGGUAACAC
rnacentral:rRNA from 1 species